UACGUAGGCGGAAGAUUAAGUCAGUGGUGAAAUCCCGCAGCUCAACUGUAGAACUGUUAUUGAUACUGGUUUUCUUGAAUAUAGUUGAGGUAGGCGGAAUGUGUAAUGUAGCGGUGAAAUGCUUAGAUAUUACACAGAACACCGAUUGCGAAGGCAGCUUACUAAGCUAUGAUUGACGCUGAGGUACGAAAGCGUGGGGAGCGAACAGGAUUAGAUACCCUGGUAGUCC
rnacentral:rRNA from 1 species